GUUAGGAAUAUUGGACAAUGGGCGAAAGCCUGAUCCAGCCAUGCCGCGUGAACGAUGAAGGCCUUCGGGUUGUAAAGUUCUUUAGCCGAUGAUUAUAAUGACUGUAGUCGGAAAAUAAGCCCCGGCUAACUUCGUGCCAGCAGCCGCGGUAAUACGAAGGGGGCGAGCGUUAUUCGGAAUCACUGGGCGUAAAGCGUGCGUAGGCGGUUUUGUAAGUUAGGAGUGAAAGCCCAGGGCUCAACCUUGGAAUUGCUCUUAAAACUGCAAGGCUCGAAUCUCGGAGAGGAUAGCGGAAUUUCCAGUGUAGCAGUGAAAUGCGUAGAUAUUGGAAGGAACACCAGUGGCGUAAGCGGCUAUCUGGACGAGUAUUGACGCUGAGGCACGAAAGCGUGGGGAUCAAACAGGAUUAGAUACCCUUGUAGUCU
rnacentral:rRNA from 1 species